rnacentral:rRNA from 1 species
UACGUAGGCAGCAAGCGUUGUUCGGAGUACUGGGCGUAAAGGGUGUGUAGGCGGUUCUCUAAGUCUGGUGUGAAAUCUCCCGGCUCAACUGGGAGGGUGCGCCGGAAACUGGGAGAGCUAGAGUACUGGAUGGGAGAGUGGAAUUCCUGGUGUAGCGGUGAAAUGCGUAGAUAUCAGGAGGAACACCUGUGGUGUAGACGGCUCUCUGGACAGUAACUGACGCUGAGACACGAAAGCGUGGGUAGCAACAGG